CACACCGCCCGUCCACACCAUGGGAGUGGGUUUCACCCAGAAGCAGGUAGUCUAACCGUAAGGAGGGCGCUUGCCACGGUGAGAUUCAUGACUGGGGUG
rnacentral:rRNA from 1 species